UCUGAUCCAGAGUACCACGAGACACGUGAAACCUUGUGGGAAGCAGGGAGGACCACCUCCCAAGGCUAAAUACUACCUGAUGACCGAUAGUGAAGCAGUACCGUGAGGGAAAGGUGAAAAGAACCCCGGGAGGGGAGUGAAAUAGAACCUGAAACCGUGUGCCUACAACCGGUCAAAGCCCCUUAUGAGGGUGAUGACGUGCUUUUUGUAGAACGAGCCAACGAGUUACGGUAUGUAGCAAGGUUAAGUACUUAAGGUACGGAGCCGAAGGGAAACCGAGUCUUAAUAGGGCGACUAGUUGCAUGCCGUAGACCCGAAACCGGGUGACCUAUCCAUGGCCAGGUUGAAGCGGGGGUAAAACCCCGUGGAGGACCGAACCACGUUGCUGUUGAAAAAGCAUGGGAUGAGCUGUGGAUAGCGGAGAAAUUCCAAUCGAACUCGGAGAUAGCUGGUUCUCCUCGAAAUAGCUUUAGGGCUAGCGUCGGAUAUGAGUAGUGGAGGUAGAGCACUGAAUGGGCUAGGGGGCAUAGCGCUUACCGAACCUUAUCAAACUCCGAAUGCCACAUACUAUUAGUCCGGCAGUCAGACUGCGAAAGAUAAGUUCCGUAGUCAAAAGGGAAACAGCCCAGAUCGUCAGCUAAGGUCCCAAAGUGUAAGUUAAGUGGAAAAGGAUGUGGGAUUUCUAAGACAACUAGGAUGUUGGCUUAGAAGCAGCCACUCAUUAAAAGAGUGCGUAAUAGCUCACUAGUCGAGAGAUCCUGCGCCGAAGAUGUCCGGGGCUCAAACUUACCACCGAAGCUACGGGUUCACACUUAUGUGUGAGCGGUAGAGGAGCGUCGUAAUCGGGCUGAAGUCGUACCGUAAGGAGCGGUGGACUGAUUACGAGUGAGAAUGUUGGCAUUAGUAGCGAGAUGUGGGUGAGAAUCCCACAGGCCGAAUAUCUAAGGUUUCCUCAGGAAGGUUCGUCCGCUGAGGGUUAGUCGGGACCUAAGCCGAGGCCGAAAGGCGUAGGCGAUGGACAAUCGGUUGAUAUUCCGAUACCACUACUGAUCGUUAUUAUCGAUGGUGUGACGGAGAAGGAUAGAGUGUGCUAGCUAUUGGAUGCUAGUCUAAGCGUUUAGGGAGUUAGGAAAGGCAAAUCCGUCCUAACAAUUCUGAGGCGUGAUGGGGAAGGUUCUACGGAACCGAAGUACUUGAUUCCAUGCUUCCAAGAAAAGCAUCUAGAGAGGCCGCAGAGAAUAGGCCCAAGCAACUGUUUAGCAAAAACACAGGUCUCUGCUAAAGCGAAAGCUGAUGUAUAGGGGCUGACGCCUGCCCGGUGCUGGAAGGUUAAGGGGAACACUUAGCGCAAGCGAAGGUGUGAACUUAAGCCCCAGUAAACGGCGGCCGUAACUAUAACGGUCCUAAGGUAGCGAAAUUCCUUGUCAGGUAAGUUCUGACCCGCACGAAUGGCGUAAUGACUUGGGCACUGUCUCAACUGUGAAUCCGGCGAAGUUGUAGUGCGAGUGAAGAUGCUCGCUACCCGCGAUUGGACGGAAAGACCCCGUAGAGCUUUACUGUAGCUUAGCAUUGAAUUUCGGUAUUGUCUGUACAGGAUAGGUGGGAGACUGGGAAAUCAGGGCGUCAGCCUUGAUGGAGUCGUCCUUGGGAUACCACCCUGACAGUACUGAGGUUCUAACUGGAUGCCAUGAAUCUGGUGACAGGACAUUGUUAGGUGGGCAGUUUGACUGGGGCGGUCGCCUCCUAAAAAGUAACGGAGGCGCCCAAAGGUUCCCUCAGAACGGUCGGAAAUCGUUCGAAGAGUGCAAAGGCAGAAGGGAGCCUGACUGCGACACCCACAAGUGGAGCAGGGACGAAAGUCGGGCUUAGUGAUCCGGUGGUACCUCGUGGGAGGGCCAUCGCUCAACGGAUAAAAGCUACCUCGGGGAUAACAGGCUGAUCUCCCCCAAGAGUCCACAUCGACGGGGAGGUUUGGCACCUCGAUGUCGGCUCGUCGCAUCCUGGGGCUGAAGUAGGUCCCAAGGGUUGGGCUGUUCGCCCAUUAAAGCGGCACGCGAGCUGGGUUCAGAACGUCGUGAGACAGUUCGGUCCCUAUCCGUCGCGGGCGUAGGAA
rnacentral:rRNA from 1 species